UUAAGCGACUAAGCGUACACGGUGGAUGCCCUGGCAGUCAGAGGCGAUGAAGGACGUGCUAAUCUGCGAUAAGCGUCGGUAAGGUGAUAUGAACCGUUAUAACCGGCGAUUUCCGAAUGGGGAAACCCAGUGUGUUUCGACACACUAUCAUUAACUGAAUCCAUAGGUUAAUGAGGCGAACCGGGGGAACUGAAACAUCUAAGUACCCCGAGGAAAAGAAAUCAACCGAGAUUCCCCCAGUAGCGGCGAGCGAACGGGGAGCAGCCCAGAGCCUGAAUCAGUGUGUGUGUUAGUGGAAGCGUCUGGAAAGGCGCGCGAUACAGGGUGACAGCCCCGUACACAAAAAUACACAUACUGUGAGCUCGAUGAGUAGGGCGGGACACGUGGUAUCCUGUCUGAAUAUGGGGGGACCAUCCUCCAAGGCUAAAUACUCCUGACUGACCGAUAGUGAACCAGUACCGUGAGGGAAAGGCGAAAAGAACCCCGGCGAGGGGAGUGAAAAAGAACCUGAAACCGUGUACGUACAAGCAGUGGGAGCACAGAGCAAUCUGUGUGACUGCGUACCUUUUGUAUAAUGGGUCAGCGACUUAUAUUCUGUAGCAAGGUUAACCGAAUAGGGGAGCCGAAGGGAAACCGAGUCUUAACUGGGCGUUAAGUUGCAGGGUAUAGACCCGAAACCCGGUGAUCUAGCCAUGGGCAGGUUGAAGGUUGGGUAACACUAACUGGAGGACCGAACCGACUAAUGUUGAAAAAUUAGCGGAUGACUUGUGGCUGGGGGUGAAAGGCCAAUCAAACCGGGAGAUAGCUGGUUCUCCCCGAAAGCUAUUUAGGUAGCGCCUCGUGAAUUCAUCUCCGGGGGUAGAGCACUGUUUCGGCAAGGGGGUCAUCCCGACUUACCAACCCGAUGCAAACUGCGAAUACCGGAGAAUGUUAUCACGGGAGACACACGGCGGGUGCUAACGUCCGUCGUGAAGAGGGAAACAACCCAGACCGCCAGCUAAGGUCCCAAAGUCAUGGUUAAGUGGGAAACGAUGUGGGAAGGCCCAGACAGCCAGGAUGUUGGCUUAGAAGCAGCCAUCAUUUAAAGAAAGCGUAAUAGCUCACUGGUCGAGUCGGCCUGCGCGGAAGAUGUAACGGGGCUAAACCAUGCACCGAAGCUGCGGCAGCGACGCUUAUGCGUUGUUGGGUAGGGGAGCGUUCUGUAAGCCUGUGAAGGUGUACUGUGAGGUAUGCUGGAGGUAUCAGAAGUGCGAAUGCUGACAUAAGUAACGAUAAAGCGGGUGAAAAGCCCGCUCGCCGGAAGACCAAGGGUUCCUGUCCAACGUUAAUCGGGGCAGGGUGAGUCGACCCCUAAGGCGAGGCCGAAAGGCGUAGUCGAUGGGAAACAGGUUAAUAUUCCUGUACUUGGUGUUACUGCGAAGGGGGGACGGAGAAGGCUAUGUUGGCCGGGCGACGGUUGUCCCGGUUUAAGCGUGUAGGCUGGUUUUCCAGGCAAAUCCGGAAAAUCAAGGCUGAGGCGUGAUGACGAGGCACUACGGUGCUGAAGCAACAAAUGCCCUGCUUCCAGGAAAAGCCUCUAAGCAUCAGGUAACAUCAAAUCGUACCCCAAACCGACACAGGUGGUCAGGUAGAGAAUACCAAGGCGCUUGAGAGAACUCGGGUGAAGGAACUAGGCAAAAUGGUGCCGUAACUUCGGGAGAAGGCACGCUGAUAUGUAGGUGAAGUCCCUCGCGGAUGGAGCUGAAAUCAGUCGAAGAUACCAGCUGGCUGCAACUGUUUAUUAAAAACACAGCACUGUGCAAACACGAAAGUGGACGUAUACGGUGUGACGCCUGCCCGGUGCCGGAAGGUUAAUUGAUGGGGUUAGCGCAAGCGAAGCUCUUGAUCGAAGCCCCGGUAAACGGCGGCCGUAACUAUAACGGUCCUAAGGUAGCGAAAUUCCUUGUCGGGUAAGUUCCGACCUGCACGAAUGGCGUAAUGAUGGCCAGGCUGUCUCCACCCGAGACUCAGUGAAAUUGAACUCGCUGUGAAGAUGCAGUGUACCCGCGGCAAGACGGAAAGACCCCGUGAACCUUUACUAUAGCUUGACACUGAACAUUGAGCCUUGAUGUGUAGGAUAGGUGGGAGGCUUUGAAGUGUGGACGCCAGUCUGCAUGGAGCCGACCUUGAAAUACCACCCUUUAAUGUUUGAUGUUCUAACGUUGACCCGUAAUCCGGGUUGCGGACAGUGUCUGGUGGGUAGUUUGACUGGGGCGGUCUCCUCCUAAAGAGUAACGGAGGAGCACGAAGGUUGGCUAAUCCUGGUCGGACAUCAGGAGGUUAGUGCAAUGGCAUAAGCCAGCUUGACUGCGAGCGUGACGGCGCGAGCAGGUGCGAAAGCAGGUCAUAGUGAUCCGGUGGUUCUGAAUGGAAGGGCCAUCGCUCAACGGAUAAAAGGUACUCCGGGGAUAACAGGCUGAUACCGCCCAAGAGUUCAUAUCGACGGCGGUGUUUGGCACCUCGAUGUCGGCUCAUCACAUCCUGGGGCUGAAGUAGGUCCCAAGGGUAUGGCUGUUCGCCAUUUAAAGUGGUACGCGAGCUGGGUUUAGAACGUCGUGAGACAGUUCGGUCCCUAUCUGCCGUGGGCGCUGGAGAACUGAGGGGGGCUGCUCCUAGUACGAGAGGACCGGAGUGGACGCAUCACUGGUGUUCGGGUUGUCAUGCCAAUGGCACUGCCCGGUAGCUAAAUGCGGAAGAGAUAAGUGCUGAAAGCAUCUAAGCACGAAACUUGCCCCGAGAUGAGUUCUCCCUGACUCCUUGAGAGUCCUGAAGGAACGUUGAAGACGACGACGUUGAUAGGCCGGGUGUGUAAGCGCAGCGAUGCGUUGAGCUAACCGGUACUAAUGAACCGUGAGGCUUAACCUU
rnacentral:rRNA from 1 species